UUGCAAAUGUUGCAAUGGAGUUUGUCAUGGUAACAAAUGAGCAUUGAGCAUUUUGUUGUGGCAACAACCUGAGAAGAAACCUUUACCAGGCCUCCUCAUAAAAAAAAGACGGUGUCUAAAUGUGCUCUUAAAGCAGCAUUAAAAUUUCUCUGCAAAUCUCAGUCUUGUUGGCACAUAAAACAAAUCACAACUUAGGGAGCAAACAUGUUUUUUUUAACUCAAAAAUUGAUUUACCCGUAACUAUUGACAGAAAACAAACCUAUAUUAAUUUUUUAUGUAUGAUGCAGAAGCUUGCAGGACGCAACAACAAACAUGUUUAAAAAUCCUUAAUGCAUUUCUGAUCAGGUUUCAGAAGUAAACAGUGCUUCGGGUUUUGAUGAAUUGAUGAAUUUCAUUCCUGUUAUUUCUGAGUAAAUCUGAUUUGAAUUCGUUUUUAGCUUGCAGAGUGUAAAGCCCAUGUUUGUAAUUUUAUAUUCCUGUCACCUCACCUUCCAUUGCCUUGAUAAAGGUUUGUUUUUUUGUUGUUUUUUUUGCUGAAUGUUGGGUUAUUGUUUUUUAAACUGUCAGAAUGCAGACUGGUGCAGGUUUGGCUGUUUGUCUACUCAGCACAUUCGGUGGGGAUGGCUCACUUGUCAAGACGAGCUCAGAGUCAUCCAUCUCUUCAUGGUGAUUCAUCUCAGUGUGGGGAAAUGUCCACCCCUUCUUCUGACUCAGAUCACAUCUGAUGGACAGAACUCCUCCCAUUGCAGGAAUCUGAUUCCUCAUCUCCCCGAGGCUGACAGCAUAAGUUAUGUCAAUGAGGGUCUCCUGUAGUGCAACCUUGUGUGUGUGUUCAUCCCUCCAGAUGCAGACAUAACAAAAUAUAUGCUGCAGCCUGAGGGCAAACACGGUGUGAGCAACCAAAUCACCUACUGAGACUGAUUACACCUGGCCCACAUCUCCUCUCAGUGUGGAGCUUUUCACUCACCGCUUCUCACCCUAUUUAUUUACAGCCUCUUCCACUGAGUUUUGAAGUUUUGAAGACUUUUGUCUUGCAAAAGUCUUCAUUCUAUCAAUUUCUUUUCUCCCAGCCUCAAACUUCCAAGCUUUUGGGAUUUUUUGACAAAAAUGUGGACUAAUGGAUGGUGGUGUUUUUUUGUUUUUGUUUUGGAAACUUCUGAAUAAAAAUUACUUCCUCCGGUCUGAUUUUAUGGUCUUCUAGAAUUUUGGCAGUUCUAGUGUUAAGAUUAGAAGACAGAUCCAUUUGGUUGUACAUUAAAUGAAACUUAAGACGGAUAAAUAAUGAGUUAUUAGAUGAGUAUUUUGGUUGUGGAAUAAAAGGGUCUGUAUUAUGUGUUUUCCAGCCACAUAGAAUCAUUUUAGGACAAAAUCAAGUAAUUAUG